CACCCGCCGCCAACCCUUGGACCCAAAGGGACACAGAACCGGGCCUCUUGGGACAAACUAGGAGGAACGUAGGCCUUGGUGGGCAAGCUGAGGGGCACAGUGGGAAACCCCACCAAAAAUAGACCACAGGACUGGGGUGGAGGAUGCUGGGGGUGCGCUGCAGGCCUCUUCGGCCUCUGGCUCUGCUUGGCGCUGGGCCGGCCCAGCGUGAUGGCCACUCGGGCCUCCAGUGUCCCCCGGGGCCCAGAGCCUGGCAUCCGCAGGGCUCCGGACGGCGAUUUCUUGUGAGAACACGUCCAUGCCUGAACGCACCCUGAGCUGGAGGUGAACUUGGGCGCACUGGCUUCCUGCUGUACUUGGGCUUUCUUUCCGAAGCCAAAAAUAGCCCAAAUCAUGGUUUGCUUUUUAUACUUUUUUCUGUGACGGACCACAUUUGCAUAAAUUCCCACUGGGAAUUUCCCCCUUUCAAGGUUGACCGCGGUUUUAGCAUUUCGAGAGGCCUGUUCAUGAAGUCAGGGGAUUUACCAGAAAUGCACCUAGUGGCCACCCGACCCCCCCCCACCACCACCACCACCCUGCCCAGCACCCUGUAACACCAGAGCCUCAAGAGGCCUCAAAGUUCACACCUCUGGCCACUUUCUCAACCAUCCCAGAGGGAACCAGCCCUUAUGAGGUGGCUGAGAAAUGCCUUUCAUUUUCUCCGUACGGAAGGCCGUGUGUCUUGGGUUAAAGAGCAGUCUGGUAUCAGAACUGGUUUCCAAUGAUGGCUCUACCACUGCUGAGCUACAACCAUAACAAAAUCACCUUUAAGGAUGGAGUUUGGGGACGCUUAUUACGUUGUGAGGUUUGCAGCAGGCUGCUGCAGCUCUCCUGAUCCCUACAGAAGAAAUGAGAACACCUAGGAGGAUAGCUUACCAUCUUGGUUGAUCCUCCACACAUAAAGGAAGGAGAAGGCACAGCCUGCUGGACCAGGCCCCAGCUGUCUCUCAGAACUUCUGGGUUUAUACAAGAUCAAGCACAGUCCCAGGCCCAUGAGAGCAGAAUGACCUUCCAACCACAACCUCAGGAAACUAGACAGGAUACGAUGGCUGACAUCAGGACCUGAUACAAUGAUCAGUGACUUCCUACCCGGGCCCCACGCUAUCAGUAGAGCCCAGGACCCAACUCCAUCAGUCACCAUGAUUAAUGACUUUUCUCCUGUACACAGUCUGCCCCUGUGCGGGCCAUCGGGGAGCCAAGUCUAGCUUACCUGUGUCUCCAGGCUUGGCACCAUUCCCUUAAAUAAACCUCUAUUUUCUCUGCUGCAAACUCCUCUUCCCGUUUCAUUGGGCUUUGAUGUGUGCAAGCAAACGAACCUCUUUAGUCCGGUAACUGAUUGUCAGAGGAAUGAGACCAACUCAUUCUCCAUCUCGCUCAGAUCAUCUACCUGAGAAGAAGAUUGAUUUCUGAACUGUGUCAGCCUAUUUUUUAAGAAGUCUUCCCUAAAUCACAAAAAUGUCUCAAAAUGAACUUAGUUUCUCUUUUCUCAAACCAGGCCUCUCGGGGCUCUGGCAUUCUCUCAGCACCUCCUUACCUGCCUCCCACCUUUA